UCCCUUAUCAGAAAGAGAAGAUAGCGGC
rnacentral:piRNA from 1 species